GCUGUGAAGCAAGGGGAAACGAUUAGCCUCGCUAGCAGCUAACAGUUUCCAGUUGCAUGGUUCUCACUUCCACCUACCUAAACAUUGGGCGUUCCCGCCUGCCUUGACAAGCAGUUGCAUUGACCACUGCUCAACGUUGUCAAGGCAACAAAGGAACUCAAAGGGGCGGCAGGAAAUGAGGAGGAUAAGGACAAGAAAACGAAGAGAGAAGGAACAGAGUGGUCAGAAUAAUUAUAACGUACGCUGGUGCUGAAAUAGUUCUGAGUUCUGCUGAUGCAGGAGGACGUUGAGAGACAGAGCGAGAGAGAAAGCGAGAAAGAAAAGAGAGGGGAAAGGAGGGAGGGAGAGAGAACAAGAGAGAGGACCGACAGCUAGACUGGCAACUACAGUUUCUUUCACUGUCUGCUGGUGUUUGCUGGUCUUGGCUGGUCUUGGCACCAGUGCCACCCAGUGUUCAAGCGUGUGAGAAAUUGACAUCAAAAGGGCCUGAGUGAGUGAUUCCACAGUGGUGGGAAAAGUCUCACAACCUGGAUUCACUGCAUGGAUUAAGCCCAGAUAUUCCAAGAAUAGAAUGGUAUAUAAAAUCCAUGACCACGAUUGCCAUUAGAUGGUGACUAUAUUAUACAAUAAAGUAUAAACAGAGA